rnacentral:rRNA from 1 species
UGCAGUCGAGCGGAGUCUGUUGACUUGGUUUCCUCUUGGCUUAGCGGCAGAGGGGAGAAUACACGUACGACACCUACCCUUCAGAGUGGUAUACUACCGGAAACGGUAUCUAAUUCCAUAUAAUUCCUUUUCUCUCAUGAGGAGAAGAUGAAAGGCAGAGCACUCUGCUACUGAGGGGUGGGUCUGCGGCACUUUAUCUAUGUGGUGAGGUAACCGCUCACCAGGGACACUAUGCAUACCAGACCUGAGAGGGAGAACGGCCACACUGGGUCUGACACACGGCCCACACUCCUACGGGGGGCAACUGUAGGGAAUCUUCCCGUGGGCGAAACCCUGACAGAGCAACCCCGCGUGAGUGAUGAGGGUUUUCAGAUCGUAAAUCUCUGUUGCCGGGGAAGAACGUCCGGUAGAGUAUCUGCUACCAGAGUGACGGCACCUGAAAAAAAAGCCCCGGCUAANUACGUGCCAACACCCGCGGUUAUACGUAGGGGGCAAGCUUUGUCCAGAAUUAUUGGGCGUAAAGCGCGCGCACGCGGAUAUUUAAGUCUGGUGUUUAAACCUUGGUCUCACCCUGGGGUCGCUCUGGAAACUGUGUGGUUUGAGUACAGAAGAAGAAAGUGGAAUUCCACGUGUAGCGGUAAAAUGCGUAUAUAUGUGGAGGAACACCAGUGGCAAAGACACUUUCUGGUCUGUAACUGACUCUGAGCGCGAAAGCGUGGGGAGCAAACGAGAUUAUAUACCUGGUACACCAUACACGAUGAGUGCUAUGUGUUAGGGUUUCUAUCUUGGCGCCAUCACACAUAGCUCUCCGUGGAGAGUACGGUCACAGACUGACUCUCA